rnacentral:rRNA from 1 species
GAUGAACGCUGGCGGCGUGCCUAAUACAUGCAAGUCGAGCGAACAGAUGAGGAUCUUGCUCCUCUGACGUUAGCGGCGGACGUGUGAGUAACACGUGGAUAACCUACCUAUAAGACUGGGAUAACUUCGGGAAACCGGAUCUAAUACCGGAUAAUAUAUUGAACCGCAUGGUUCAAUAGUGAAAGACGGUUUUGCUGUCACUUAUAGAUGGAUCCGCGCCGCAUUAGCUAGUUGGUAAGGUAACGGCUUACCAAGGCAACCAUGCGUAGCCGACCUGAGAGGGUGAUAGGCCACAAUGGAACUGAGACACGGUCCAGACUCCUACGGGAGGCAGCAGUAGGGAAUCUUCCGCAAUGGGCGAAAGCCUGACGCAGCAACGGCGCGUGAGUGAUGAAGGUCUUCGGAUCGUAAAACUCUGUUAUUAGGGAAGAACAAAUGUGUAAGUAACUAUGCACGUAUUGACGGUACCUAAUCAGAAAGCAACGGCUAACUACGUG